rnacentral:rRNA from 1 species
AGGACCACACACUUCAUGGUGAGUGGUGCAAAGCUUUUGCGGUGUGGGAUGAGCCCGCGGCCUAUCAGCUUGUUGGUGGGGUAAUGGCCCACCAAGGCGACGACGGGUAGCCGGCCUGAGAGGGUGACCGGCCACACUGGGACUGAGAUACGGCCCAGACUCCUACGGGAGGCAGCAGUGGGGAAUAUUGCACAAUGGGCGCAAGCCUGAUGCAGCGACGCCGCGUGAGGGAUGACGGCCUUCGGGUUGUAAACCUCUUUCAGUAGGGACGAAGCGAAAGUGACGGUACCUACAGAAGAAGGACCGGCCAACUACGUGCCAGCAGCCGCGGUAAUACGUAGGGUCCGAGCGUUGUCCGGAAUUACUGGGCGUAAAGAGCUCGUAGGUGGUUUGUCGCGUUGUUCGUGAAAACUCACAGCUUAACUGUGGGCGUGCGGGCGAUACGGGCAGACUAGAGUACUGCAGGGGAGACUGGAAUUCCUGGUGUAGCGGUGGAAUGCGCAGAUAUCAGGAGGAACACCGGUGGCGAAGGCGGGUCUCUGGGCAGUAACUGACGCUGAGGAGCGAAAGCGUGGGUAGCGAACAGGAUUAGAUACCCUGGUAGUCCACGCCGUAAACGGUGGGUACUAGGUGUGGGUUUCCUUCCUUGGGAUCCGUGCCGUAGCUAACGCAUUAAGUACCCCGCCUGGGGAGUACGGUCGCAAGACUAAAACUCAAAGGAAUUGACGGGGGCCCGCACAAGCGGCGGAGCAUGUGGAUUAAUUCGAUGCAACGCGAAGAACCUUACCUGGGUUUGACAUGCACAGGACGUACCUAGAGAUAGGUAUUCCCUUGUGGCCUGUGUGCAGGUGGUGCAUGGCUGUCGUCAGCUCGUGUCGUGAGAUGUUGGGUUAAGUCCCGCAACGAGCGCAACCCUUGUCCUAUGUUGCCAGCGGGUAAUGCCGGGGACUCGUAGGAGACUGCCGGGGUCAACUCGGAGGAAGGUGGGGAUGACGUCAAGUCAUCAUGCCCCUUAUGUCCAGGGCUUCACACAUGCUACAAUGGCCAGUACAGAGGGCUGCGAAGCCGCAAGGUGGAGCGAAUCCCUUAAAGCUGGUCUCAGUUCGGAUUGGGGUCUGCAACUCGACCCCAUGAAGUCGGAGUCGCUAGUAAUCGCAGAUCAGCAACGCUGCGGUGAAUACGUUCCCGGGCCUCGUACACACCGCCCGUCACGUCAUGAAAGUCGGUAACACCCGAAGCCAGUGGCCUAACC